GGGUCCGACCGGUUUUGACAGUAGGCGCAUUUAGUAAGUAAGCAUGUAGAGCGUUGUAAGAAGAGCUCUUAAAACUAAACUUUCAAAACAAUUAAUUGGCGAAGGUAAUACUUACGCUAUGGCUGCUUAAUCUAGGAUUUUGCAACCUUUGCUUUCCGAUGAGCUAAACUGCUCUGCGCAUUGGGUAAAGCAUCAUAAAUGUGUAGUUUGUUUAUAGGAUGCUAUUACUAUAAACAAUAUUAAUAGUUAAGUUAAAAGUUGAUUUGAAUAAACGUCUGCUUUUAAUCGAAAAUCAAGUUUAUUCUAAACAUGUAGAAGGCUUAUUAUUUCCUUAUUUGGACGAGAGUUCGAAUCUCUCCGGAUCCACUC
rnacentral:tmRNA from 1 species